rfam:Triticum urartu cultivar G1812 contig82874, whole genome shotgun sequence.
AGCAUACUCCCUCCGUUCCGAAUUACUUGUCGCGGGUAUUGAUGUAUCUAGAUGUAUUUUAGUUCUAGAUACAUCCAUUUCUACGACGAGUAAUUUGAAACGGAGGGAGUACGUU